ACGCGUAUGCAAUCUGCCUUCCACAGAGGGAUAGCCCAGAGAAAUUUGGAUUAAUACCUCAUAGCAUCAUGACCCGGCAUCGGGAUAUGAUUAAAGUCACAACGGUGGAAGAUGAGCAUGCGUCCCAUUAGCUAGUUGGUAAGGUAACGGCUUACCAAGGCUACGAUGGGUAGGGGUCCUGAGAGGGAGAUCCCCCACACUGGUACUGAGACACGGACCAGACUCCUACGGGAGGCAGCAGUGAGGAAUAUUGGUCAAUGGGCGCAAGCCUGAACCAGCCAUGCCGCGCGCAGGAUGACGGUCCUAUGGAUUGUAAACUGCUUUUGUACGGGAAGAAACCCUCCUACGUGUAGGAGCUUGACGGUACCGUAAGAAUAAGGAUCGGCUAACUCCGUGCCAGCAGCCGCGGUAAUACGGAGGAUCCAAGCGUUAUCCGGAAUCAUUGGGUUUAAAGGGUCUGUAGGCGGUCUUGUAAGUCAGUGGUGAAAGCCCAUCGCUCAACGGUGGAACGGCCAUUGAUACUGCUGGACUUGAAUUAUUGGGAAGCAACUAGAAUAUGUAGUGUAGCGGUGAAAUGCUUAGAGAUUACAUGGAAUACCAAUUGCGAAGGCAGGUUGCUACCAAUGGAUUGACGCUGAUGGACGAAAACGUGGGUAGCGAACA
rnacentral:rRNA from 1 species